rnacentral:rRNA from 1 species
UGGGAAAGCCUUUGCGGCAUGGGAUGGGGUCGCGUCCUAUCAGCUUGAUGGCGGGGUAACGGCCCACCAUGGCUUCGACGGGUAGCCGGCCUGAGAGGGCGACCGGCCACAUUGGGACUGAGAUACGGCCCAGACUCCUACGGGAGGCAGCAGUGGGGAAUAUUGCACAAUGGGCGCAAGCCUGAUGCAGCGACGCCGCGUGAGGGAUGGAGGCCUUCGGGUUGUAAACCUCUUUUGUUAGGGAGCAAGGCACUUUGUGUUGAGUGUACCUUUCGAAUAAGCACCGGCUAACUACGUGCCAGCAGCCGCGGUAAU